UUAUUUUUGAGAGAGAGUGAGCUAGAGUGAGCAGGGAGGGACAGAGAAAGAGGGAGAGAGAGAAUCCCAAGCACUGACAGCACAGAGCCCGAUGCAGGACUCCAUCCCACGAACCAUGAGAUCAUGGUUAUGAUCUUAACCGACUGAGCCAUCCAGGCACCAAAAGUGAUUGUUAUUAAUUAUACUGUUGAUGCAAUUGGAGUCAACUUUAUACAUAUAUAUUAUCUUUUCAGGUAACCAUAUCAAACAUUUUGUUUUUCUUCCAUCACUUAGUAUUUUAAAAAUUUUGGUUGCUAGGUAUUAUGCUGGCACACUAAAGGACACAGGUAAUAAUUGACCUUUAUAAUACAGUAUGAUAAAUUGUGUGAUAGAAGUAAAUAUAGGAGAAAUAUAGACAAAGUUUGCAUUGAUGGAUGCUUAAGAAGACCUCUCCAGAGGGGCCUUACCUAAAGCGGUCCUUGAAGGUUGAUAAGGAGUUGAGGGAAUAAGGUGGGGAGGGAGUUGCCUACAGAGAGAACUGCAUGGCAGACUUAAAAGUGAGAACAAGCUAUGUCUGCCUUGUGAAGCUGUGAAUUUUUCAGUAUAACUGGAACAUAAGAUCCAACUGUAGGGUGGAGUAGGCAGCAGGUCUAGGGGUAGAGUGGUAAGGAUUAUAGGGUUGCUGGAGAGAUAAUUUGGUCUUUCAUGCCUUUUAAAAUAGUUUAAACUGGAUCUAAAAGACUGGACUACCUCUCUCAAUAGUAAAUUAUCAUAUGAAUUUAAGGAAGGUAAACUAAUAAUAAAGUAAGAUAAGAAAUAUGAUUUAUUAAACAUAUAUGCUAGGGUAAAUUACUGUAUUUAAAUGAGAUCUUAUUAUAAAUAUACAUGUAAAAUGCCAUACUGAUCUAAAAGCAUAACAUGAAAUCUUUCAGAUCUGGAUUUCAGUCCUGGUUCCACCACUUACAUUUCUGUGACUUUGUGUCAGUUAGGUAAUUCUUUAUGCUAGUGUCCUCAGCUAUAAAAUGGGGAUAAUAAAAGAAUCCAUCUUCAUAAGCUUUUUGUGAGGAUUAAAUGAGAUUAUGAUAAGCAGUCUAUAAGCAUUUAGUAAGUUAAAUUUAUUACUAUUGUUGUUGCUGUGUAUUACUUUGGCAUCAGUGAUCUUUCCAAUGUAUUUAUAGUCCCUAAUCUCCAUCUCUGUUUGUAUGUGGAUAUAGAGUCAUCUUAAUAUAGGCCAGGAGACAGCAUGAUUGGGAAAGUAAAUUUAUGCGAAAUCAUUUUUUUUAAGUUUUAUUUAUUUAUUUAUUUUUGAAUUUUAUCUUUUUAAUCUUUUUAUUUAAAUUCCAGUUAGUUAACAUACAGUAUAACAUUAGUUUCAGGUGUACAAUAUAGUGAUUCAACACUUCUUUGUAUCACCCCGUGCUCAUCACAAGUUCAUAUUCUUUUAUAGUAUGUAUUUUCAUCUACUAUUUUGAACUAUCUAAAUAGUAACCUGCUGCCUUAAGCGUGUCAUAAGUUUUUCCUCAAGCUUUAGAAACAUUUUUUCUUGCUACAGUUAAAUCAUGUGAUGACAGCCUUGAAAGUAUUAUCGUUCAAAAAUGUAUUUUCCUGAUCCUACUAAGUUGUACAUGUGACUAACCAUGUUAAAUUUAACGUUUUUGUCUUGUUUUGAGUUACGAAUUUUUCAUAAUGAUUUUUUUCAACAAGCAGCUUCUUCCCAUUUUAGAUGCUAGAAUGUGAUCAAUAUAAUGAAAAUUAUAAUAAAUAGUCAAAGCAUCUGAAGUGCUUUGCAUUUUUUUUCUGGUGUAUGGAAUUUACUAGUAACUUCAAAUUAGCUUGCUCUUUUAUUUGGAAAAUGGUUAAAAGUACAUUUGUAUUUUUUAACCCAUGAUGCACCCUUGUUUUAGCCUUUGCUCUGUGUUGAAAUAAGUAAAAUGCUUACUAUCAGUCCUUUUAUGUAAUUUUACUAGUCAUCUUUUGGUUAAAUAAAGCUAACCCUUUACUAGAUUCCUCCAGAAGGGCACAUUGUGUAUCUCGUGAGUUCUAGAAUGUUUUAAACUGUUUUCCUCUGACCUGGAUACCAGCAGGACAGCUUGGGUCCUCUGAUACCCUCUUCCCUUUCUUAUGAAAUCUUUUAAGCCUCCCAUUAUUUUCUACCCUUACAAACUUGCAGCAAGUAGAAGGCCGUAGAAGUUCUUUUGGAAUUUUUUCGCUUUAUUUCUACUUCACAGGUAAUGUGAAGGUCAAAGUGUUUUUUGUCUCCUAGUAGUAUUGAAGGUUUUAUUUCAAGCCAUACAGAGAAAGACAGAUACCAUAUGUUUUCACUCUUAUGUGGAUCCUGAGAAACUUAACAGGAACCCAUGGGGGAGUGAAAGGGGAAAAAAAAAAGAGAGAGAGAGGGGUUAGAGUGGGAGAGAGCCAAAGCAUAAGAAACUCUUAAAAACUGAGAACAGGGGCGCCUGGGUGGCUCAGUCGGUUAAGCGGCCAACUUCGGCUCAGGUCAUGAUUUCGCGGUCCAUGAGUUCGAGCCCCGCGUCGGGCUCUGUGCUGACAGCUCAGAGCCUGGAGCCUGUUUCAGAUUCUGUGUCUCCCUCUCUCAGACCCUCCCCUGUUCAUGCUCUCUCUCUCUCUCUCUCUCUC